rnacentral:rRNA from 1 species
UGGGGAAUAUUGGACAAUGGGGGCAACCCUGAUCCAGCGAUGCCGCGUGUGUGAAGAAGGCCUGCGGGUUGUAAAGCACUUUUAGCGGGGAGGAAGUAUUUUCUGUGAAUAGCGGGGGAUAUUGACGGUACCUGCGGAAUAAGCACCGGCUAACUCUGUGCCAGCAGCCGCGGUAAUACAGAGGGUGCGAGCGUUAAUCGGAGUUAUUGGGCGUAAAGCGCACGUAGGUGGGUAAUUAAGUUGGCUGUAAAAUUCCCGGGCUCAACCUGGGAUGGCCAGCCGAUACUGGUUAUCUAGAGUACAGUAGAGGGAAGUGGAAUUUCCGGUGUAGCGGUGAAAUGCGUAGAUAUCGGAAGGAACACCAGUGGCGAAGGCGGCUUUCUGGACUGAUACUGACACUGAGGAGCGAAGGCGUGGGGAGCGAACAGGAUUAGAUACCCUGGUAGUCCACGCGGUAAACGAUGAGAACUAGCCGUUGGUGGAGGAUAUUCAUCAGUGGCG